rnacentral:rRNA from 1 species
CCUACGGGCGGCAGCAGUGGGGAAUAUUGCACAAUGGGCGCAAGCCUGAUGCAGCCAUGCCGCGUGUAUGAAGAAGGCCUUCGGGUUGUAAAGUACUUUCAGCGAGGAGGAAGGGAUUGUGGUUAAUAACCGCAGUCAUUGACGUUACUCGCAGAAGAAGCACCGGCUAACUCCGUGCCAGCAGCCGCGGUAAUACGGAGGGUGCAAGCGUUAAUAGGAAUUACUGGGCGUAAAGCGCACGCAGGCGGUCUGUUAAGUCAGAUGUGAAAUCCCCGGGCUCAACCUGGGAACUGCAUUUGAAACUGGCAGGCUUGAGUCUCGUAGAGGGGGGUAGAAUUCCAGGUGUAGCGGUGAAAUGCGUAGAGAUCUGGAGGAAUACCGGUGGCGAAGGCGGCCCCCUGG